GAUGAACGCUAGCGGGAGGCCUAACACAUGCAAGCCGAGCGGUAUUGUUUCUUCGGAAAUGAGAGAGCGGCGUACGGGUGCGUAACACGUGUGCAACCUGCCCUUAUCUGGGGGAUAGCCUUUUGAAAGGAAGAUUAAUACUCCAUAAUAUAUUGAACGGCAUCGUUUAAUAUUGAAAGCUCCGGCGGAUAGAGAUGGGCACGCGCAAGAUUAGCUAGUUGGUGAGGUAACGGCUCACCAAGGCGAUGAUCUUUAGGGGGCCUGAGAGGGUGAUCCCCCACACUGGUACUGAGACACGGACCAGACUCCUACGGGAGGCAGCAGUGAGGAAUAUUGGGCAAUGGGUGCAAGCCUGAACCAGCCAUCCCGCGUGAAGGACGACUGCCCUAUGGGUUGUAAACUUCUUUUGUAUAGGGAUAAACCUACCCUCGUGAGGGUAGCUGAAGGUACUAUACGAAUAAGCACCGGCUAACUCCGUGCCAGCCGCCGCGGUAACAC
rnacentral:rRNA from 1 species